UACGUAGGGGGCAAGCGUUGUCCGGAAUCAUUGGGCGUUAAAGCGCGCGUGAGGCGGCCCGGUAAGUCCGCUCUGGAAAGUCCAGGGCUCAACCCUGGAAAGCGGGUGGAUACUGCCGGGCUAGAAUCCGGAGAGGCGAGUGGAAUUCCUGGUGUAGCGGUGGAAUGCGCAGAUAUCAGGAGGAAUACCGGUGGCGAAGGCGGCCAUCUGGCCGAAAUACUGACGCUGAGAAUACGAAAGUGUGGGGGAUCAAACAGG
rnacentral:rRNA from 1 species